rnacentral:rRNA from 1 species
GUAGGGGCCAAGCGUUAUCCAGAUUUAUUGGGCGUAAAGAGCUCGUAGGCGGCUUGGCAAGUCGGUCGUGAAAGUCCGAGGCUCAACCUCGGAAUGCCGGUCGAAACUGCCAUGGCUAGGGUUCGGUAGAGGAGAGUGGAAUUCUCGGUGUAGCGGCGAAAUGCGCAGAUAUCGAGAGGAACACCAGUAGCGAAGGCGGCUCUCUGGGCCGAUACCGACGCUGAGGAGCGAAAGCGUGGGGGAGCAAACAGGAUUAGAUACCCUGGUAGUCCACGCCGUAAACGGUGAUCACUAGGUGUGGCGGACUCAUUGACGUCUGCUGUGCCGGCGCUAACGCAUUAAGUGAUCCGCCUGGGGAGUACGGCCGCAAGGCUA